rnacentral:rRNA from 1 species
AAGGCGACGAUCAGUAGCGGGUCUGAGAGGAUGAUCCGUCACACUGGAACUGAGACACGGUCCAGACUCCUACGGGAGGCAGCAGUGGGGAAUUUUGGACAAUGGGGGCAACCCUGAUCCAGCCAUUCCGCGUGAGUGAAGAAGGCCUUCGGGUUGUAAAGCUCUUUCAGCCGGAACGAAACGGUAUUCCUUAAUACGGGAUGCUAAUGACGGUACCGGCAGAAGAAGCACCGGCUAACUACGUGCCAGCAGCCGCGGUAAUACGUAGGGUGCGAGCGUUAAUCGGAAUUACUGGGCGUAAAGCGUGCGCAGGCGGAUUGUUAAGCAAGAUGUGAAAUCCCCGGGCUUAACCUGGGAAUGGCAUUUUGAACUGGCAGUCUAGAGUGUGUCAGAGGGGGGUGGAAUUCCACGUGUAGCAGUGAAAUGCGUAGAUAUGUGGAGGAACACCAAUGGCGAAGGCAGCCCCCUGGGAUAACACUGACGCUCAUGUACGAAAGCGUGGGCAGCAAACAGGAUUAGAUACCCUGGUAGUCCACGCCCUAAACGAUGUCAACUGGUUGUUGGGGGAGUGAAAUCCCUUAGUAACGAAGCUAACGCGUGAAGUUGACCGCCUGGGGAGUACGGUCGCAAGAUUAAAACUCAAAGGAAUUGACGGGGACCCGCACAAGCGGUGGAUGAUGUGGAUUAAUUCGAUGCAACGCGAAAAACCUUACCUACCCUUGACAUGUCCGGAAUCCUGCAGAGAUGCGGGAGUGCCCGAAAGGGAAUCGGAACACAGGUGCUGCAUGGCUGUCGUCAGCUCGUGUCGUGAGAUGUUGGGUUAGGUCCCGCAACGAGCGCAACCCUUAUCAUUAGUUGCUACGCAAGGGCACUCUAAUGAGACUGCCGGUGACAAACCGGAGGAAGGUGGGGAUGACGUCAAGUCCUCAUGGCCCUUAUGGGUAGGGCUUCACACGUCAUACAAUGGUCGGUACAGAGGGUUGCCAAGCCGCGAGGUGGAGCCAAUCCCAGAAAGCCGAUCGUAGUCCGGAUUGUUCUCUGCAACUCGAGAGCAUGAAGUCGGAAUCGCUAGUAAUCGCGGAUCAGCAUGUCGCGGUGAAUACGUUCCCGGGUCUUGUACACACCGCCCGUCACACCAUGGGAGUGGAAUCUGCCAGAAGUAGGUAGCCUAACCGCAAGGAGGGCGCUUACCACGGUGGGUUUCAUGACUGGGGUGAAGUCGUAACAAGGUA